rnacentral:rRNA from 1 species
GACGUAGGGCGCGAGCGUUGUCCGGAUUUAUUGGGCGUAAAGGGCUCGUAGGCGGCUUGUCGCGUCGACUGUGAAAUCCCGCGGCUCAACUGCGGGUCUGCAGUCGAUACGGGCAGGCUAGAGUUCGGUAGGGGAGACUGGAAUUCCUGGUGUAGCGGUGAAAUGCGCAGAUAUCAGGAGGAACACCGAUGGCGAAGGCAGGUCUCUGGGCAUUAACUGACGCUGAGGAGCGAAAGCAUGGGGAGCGAACAGG